GGGCACAUGGUGUAGUUGGUUAUCACGCUCGCUUAGCACGGACAGAUUGGGAAUUCUAGCCAAUUCCUUCGUAAGCGGUCUGCGAGAGGUGUUGGGUUCAAUUCCCAAUGUGUCCA